GGCAACUUGUCCGAGUGGUUAAGGAGAUGCCCUGCUAAGGCAUUGCGCUUUGCGUGCGCAGGUUCGAACCCUGCAGUUGUCG